UACGUAGGGGGCUAGCGUUGUCCGGAUUUAUUGGGCGUAAAGAGCGUGUAGGCGGCCAGAUAGGUCUGCUGUGAAAACUCGAGGCUUAACCUCGAGACGUCGAUGGAAACCGCAUGGCUAGAGUCCGGAAGAGGAGAGUGGAAUUCCUGGUGUAGCGGUGAAAUGCGCAGAUAUCAGGAAGAACACCCGUGGCGAAGGCGGCUCUCUGGGACGGUACUGACGCUGAGACGCGAAAGCGUGGGGAGCGAACAGG
rnacentral:rRNA from 1 species